rnacentral:lncRNA from 1 species
UGUCUUCAGGGCGGAUUGGAUUGUGUGGAGCCAUAAUCUUGUUCUCAGAACCCCCUGACUGCCAGGAAAAGCUUGCGCAUCCCUGAUCUAGAUGGUUGUAUCAUGUGGGAGAGCAAGGCUUUUCCUCAUCUGCCUGUACACAUUCUAGGAACACAUUUUGGUCCAGGAUAGGAACACAUGAAGUUCCAACUCUUCUAGGAAGAUUUUUCUUUCCCACCAAAAAAGACCACAAAGCCUUAUCUUACUUUCUAACCUGAUGAAUGCCUUUUGUCUUUUCUCUUCAUUUUGGCAACUAUGUCUUAUUUAUUGUCUGUCUUGUUUCAAGAGGUUUUAAGGCGACGUUUCUGUGAAAUCUUUGUCACAGCAAUGAGUUUGUAGGCCAUUUAAAGAGCAGAAAACCUGUUGUUUUUUUGAUAUAGAAGACCAAGAUUUGGGUCUUAG